rnacentral:rRNA from 1 species
AUUGAACGCUGGCGGCAUGCCUUACACAUGCAAGUCGAACGGCAGCACGGGAGCAAUCCUAGUGGCGAGUGGCGAACGGGUGAGUAAAGUAUCGGAACGUGCCCAGUCGUGGGGGAUAACGUAGCGAAAGUUACGCUAAUACCGCAUACGAUCUAUGGAUGAAAGCGGGGGAUCGCAAGACCACGCGCGAUUGGAGCGGCCGAUAUCAGAUUAGGUAGUUGGUGGGGUAAAGGCUCACCAAGCCGACGAUCUGUAGCUGGUCUGAGAGGACGACCAGCCACACUGGGACUGAGACACGGCCCAGACUCCUACGGGAGGCAGCAGUGGGGAAUUUUGGACAAUGGGCGAAAGCCUGAUCCAGCCAUGCCGCGUGCAGGAUGAAGGCCUUCGGGUUGUAAACUGCUUUUGUACGGAACGAAAAGGUUUGGCCUAAUAAGCUGAGCUCAUGACGGUACCGUAAGAAUAAGCACCGGCUAACUACGUGCCAGCCGCCGCUGUAA